GGAAAAAGCAAAGAGAGGAGAGCAAAAAGGAUGGAGGGAAAGGUGAAACUCUAGCCAGGAGCACAGCCGGAGCCCCACAUCAGUAGAAUCCUGGAGGAUAUCCUCUGCCCCUCAACACAAAGAGCUAAGCCUGUUUUCUGUGAUCCCUAAGGGUUUUCACUCAUCGCUUACUCUCGUUCCCGGGUAUGAUUAAUAGAAUCAUCAGAUUUUCCCCAGAAGUUGAGAAUUCCUAUUGAAUAAUACAGAUAAGCAUGUCAUUUUGCUGCCACCAAAGGCUUUGGUCAGAAAUGCUUUAAUUGGAUAAGAAAACUCCCUUCUGUCAAAAAUGGGGGGGGGGGGGUGGGGGAUCACAGAAAAGAGGCAAUACAAAUGAAACUAACAAAAUAAAGUGUCCGUAUGGAGUGGGAAGGGAGAAGGCAUCAAAAUUCUUGUCCCCUUAAAAUUGUCCUAAACAACGAAUUCCCCAAGAUGCAUUUGGCCAUUAGAAAUAGAAACACUCUCCCUUUAUCCUUGGAAAGGGGUUGGAGGAGAUGACCGAGGAAGAUGUUAAUAACAACAGUACCUCUCUCUGAGUGCUCCAAUCAACCCACAGUACCCAGGAUACACAGGAGCUACACCAUCAUAGUUAAGGCUCAUAACUUCCCUAGGAGGGUGGGUACCACCAUGAUCCCUGUUUUGCAGAUGAGAACAGCAAGGCGUAAAAGAGGUGAAAUGAAUUCCCAAGUCACCACACCAGUGGGUAAUAGAAAGGUUUAAAAACCAGGUUUGUCUGAUGCCAGAACUCCUGUUUCUAAUCAUUGUGACAACAGCCUUAUUUGCAUAAAUCCUCUUCCAGCGAAUAGAAUGGGCAGUUUUGGCAGGCUUAGACAAAAGACUGUCCUAAAUAUGAGGUUUUCACAUUGGUUUGUCCCAUUAUUCAGCUAACUAAAGACCCUGAUGACAGCCCUCCAGAGUAUGUACAAGAUUCUACUGCGUGACUGGGAACACAGAGGGAGAAAGGGAGAUGAACUAACAGUAAAGAAGGCGCGUUUGGUGAGAAAAAAGAAGACUAGGAGUAGAAGGAAGAAAAGAGGGGCUUCCCUUCCCCCAAAGAGUGGGCCAAUCCUUUUCGGUGAUCCAGAAAGAAGAAAAGAAAGCAGUCAAGGUGAAAGAAUGUCACAAUGGCUAGUAACCCGGGCAACUCACCGAAGCCACUAUAACGACCUCCGUCAUAACUCGGCCAAGGAUUUCCUCCAUGGAUCAGUGCCAAGAGGGAGGACAAGUGAAGCAAUGUGAACUCGCAAACAUUCCACUUAUAGACGCUGGUUACAACAACGCUAAUAGAAGAAAUAAUAGGCAGGCACCACCACCAAGAAGUUCUUGCAAAUAAAACUCAACGCAUCCCUUUUAGGUCCCUGAUU
rnacentral:lncRNA from 1 species